CCUCGCUCUGCUCGCGCUCGCGCUAGCGCUAUGCCGUCGCCCUCCCUCUGCGCCGGCUGCACCCGCACCCUGCCCUCCACGGCUGCUCCAGCUCCUGCGGCGGCGAGCUGCUCGAGCUCCCUGCCGACCUGCCUCUGCGGCGGCGAGCUUGGCGGUGUCGCGCCUGCGCACGGCGGCAGCGCCCGGACGUGGGCCAGCGACAGCGGGUUCGCCGCUCCUGCAGCUUCCCAAGGGCCGCCGGAGACCUCCCUCCCGCACCCGCGGCGAGUUCGUGCCGCACCGGCCGCCUCUCCCCCGCGCCGCUGGGUCCUCCGGUGCCGCCGCCGCCAGCGAAGGCUGCUGCCGAGAGGGGCCUCCCUGAAGUCCUCAAGUUCUCCGUGGCGCAAGACGCAGGCAUUGUAAGAGAAGCUGCUUGGCAAAUAAGAUGCAGAACAGCCAGGAUCAGAGGUUGAUCAAAAUCCUGUGGAGAAAGGAUGCUGAAACUGGAUAUCAAGUUGGUUGCUUGAUCAGCUGAUUGGCAAGGAAUUGAUGGUCUUUGCGACAGAUGAAAUCACCAUGGACGCUUUGCGCAAGUACCCAUGCUGAAUUUAGAACUCGAGCCUGAUGGACACAAAUAACAUUGAUGUGAAUUGAUGUGCGGGGAGCAAGGCAUGCCAAAUUGGAGAUUGUAAUUGAUGUGAAUUUAGAGUGGAGUUCAGGAAUCGUGUGACUGAAUGUUAAAUUCAGGCUGUAACUGAAUUCUGUUAUCAAAAUGUCAUACUGAAUUCUGUCAUCAUACUGAUGUGAAUUCAGGAUUGUAACUUGUGAUUGUGCACCACCACUAGCUGUUAUCAAAAUGUCAUACUGAAUUCUGUUAUCAAACUGACAACAUCA